UAAUAGUCCUGUAUGUUAAACGAGAAGACUUCAGAUAUGAUCCAGAGUACCACGGGACACGUGAAACCCUGUGGGAAGCAGGAGGGACCACCCUCCAAGGCUAAAUACUACCUAGUGACCGAUAGCGUAUAGUACCGUGAGGGAAAGGUGAAAAGAACCCCGGGAGGGGAGUGAAAUAGAACCUGAAACCCUGCACUUACAAGCUGUGGAAGCACAUUUCUUGUGUGACCGCGUACUUUUUGUAGAACGGGCCAACGAGUUACGUUAAGUAGCAAGGUUAAGCACUUAAGGUGCGGAGCCGUAGCGAAAGCGAGUUUUAACUGAGCGUUCAGUUACUUGACGUAGACCCGAAACCGGGCGACCUACCCAUGAGCAGGAUGAAGCGAAAGUAAAAUUUCGUGGAGGUCCGAACCCACGAGCGUUGAAAAGCUCGGGGAUGACUUGUGGGUAGCGGUGAAAUUCCAAUCGAGCCCGGAGAUAGCUGGUUCUCCCCGAAAUAGCUUUAGGGCUAGCCUCAAGGUGAGAGAUACGGAGGUAGAGCACUGAAUGUCCUAGGGGGUAUUGCACCUACCGAAGACUAUCAAACUCCGAAUGCCGUCAUCUUAUACUUGGGAGUCAGACUGUGGGUGAUAAGAUUCAUAGUCGAAAGGGCAACAGCCCAGAUCGUCAGCUAAGGUCCCUAAAUGUAAGUUAAGUGGUAAAGGAUGUGGGAUUGCACAGACAACCAGGAUGUUGGCUUAGAAGCAGCCACUCAUUCAAAGAGUGCGUAAUAGCUCACUGGUCGAGUGAUCCUGCGCCGAAGAUUUCCGGGGCUAAAACUUACUACCGAAGCUACGGCAUCAGUAAUGAUGGGUAGGGGAGCUUCCCAUACGGGUUGAAGCAUGACCGUAAGGACAUGUGGACAGUAUGGGAGUGAGAAUGUUGGCAUGAGUAGCGAGAUGUGGGUGAGAAUCCCACAGGCCGUAAACCCAAGGUUUCCAGGGGAAGGUUCGUCCGCCCUGGGUUAGUCGGGACCUAAGCUGAGGCCGAAAGGCGUAGGUGAUGGACAACAGGUUGAU
rnacentral:rRNA from 1 species